CUGGAUAUUGUGAGACACUUUUCAAUCAUCAAUCUCAUUGGCAAAAGAAUAAACAAUAUCAUUUAUUUUGUAAGUAUAUGGAAUUCAUUAAAUAUGCACUUAACUUUUGGUCCUAGAAGUUAUUUUAAAAAAUUAGUUCAAAUCCUAAUAUGGUAUUUAACAUGUUCAAGUAUAUAUAUUCUUACUUUCUCAGGAAUUACCAAUGCCAAAAUGGAAUCCAGGGGAAAACACGUUUCUAUCUCUGUCUGAUACACAUUUGUUAAGGUUUAAGUCUAGAUGUCCCCCCAAAGCCUCAUCAGUCACAGAACAUUGCUCUGGUCCGGCUUGGCUUCCUAGGAGAUAUGGUGUUCAUCUUCAGACCUUGACAAAUGCAUCAGAAAAGAUGGUGACAGAGAAAAC
rnacentral:lncRNA from 1 species